CCUUUAAAAUGAAUAAAAAGAAAAGAGAAACGGAGGAAUCGUGAAACAGAUUCCCAAAAUACCAUUCGUCUUCCUCACGAAGACCGCUUCCCUUCUCUCAAUCUCUCAUCAUCUCUCAACCGUCAUCUCUCACGAUACCCUACCCUUACCCCAAAUGCACAAAUCCAUGGCUUUAAAGAAAUCCAAACAAUAAAGCUUACCUUCGGUGGUGGUUUGGUAGUGACGGUGAGGCUUGGAUUUGCCUCCUUUACCUCAAAGCUUUCUCUUUGAAGUUCUUCUCCUUCGCCGUUUCAAUCUGGGUUUUUUCGCCGUUUUCGAAUUUAGGGUUUUGUGGUGGUCGCCUCCAAAAAUUCCGUUCUUUCAUCUGUGGUCGAUUCCCCCUUUUAUAUCAACAACUUAGGGUUUUAGGUUGGCUUAUGGAGAUCCAAAAGGGGUUUCUGUGAAAUCUCUUUAGGGUAGUCAGAUUUUGGUCGCCCUAUUUGAUUGUUAAAUUCGGAAGAGAACCUUCAUGAGUGGUUUACAAAUUUCUUCUUCUACUUUGAAAAAAGGUGUUUUUGUUAUGGAAAUCCUAGGGUGGAGUUCUAGUGUGGAUGAAGUUCUUAGAUCCGCUUCUGGUUCGGUUGAGGAUGUGAAACUGUUUUGCUGUGAUCAAACUCAGAUUUGAGAAGAAGUUCUUUUUGGGUGCGAUUGGUUUUCUUGAUUUCAAUUGAUUUUGUUCAUACCGUGCAGGUUAACCAUUUGCCUUGGAAGUUAUGUUAGAGGCUGCUAUGGAGUUUUCGAUUUUGUAUGGAGGUUAACCAACCAAUUAGUAAGGGCGGAUUCAGGUUGUGGCUUUGAAUCAUGCUGUUGGAGGUUAGGUGGAUAUCAUUUGGGUUGAAAUUCGUUGGACAGUUGGAAGUUCGGUUGGAGUUUGUUAUGAUUCUAUUCUGAAUUCAGUUGAAAUUUGGAAAUUCGGAUCCUUUGGUUUGCACUUGCAGGUGUGAUGCAUAAUUGGUUAAUUACUGCAGAAUUUUUGGACAUAUUUGCUUCAGGAAUGAAUAGAAAGUCUGAAGGUUAUUAGUUAGCUUGGGAAUUUCGGCUUGGAUGCGGCUACGAAGCGCAUUGGAUGGCGGGGCUGUUUUGGAAUUCUUAUGGAGUGCUAUGGCCUUGAUGAUGUUGAUUCGCUACUGUUAGAAAAAUCAUAUGUAAUGGAUUGGGAUAUAUCGAAUGUAUUGAAAUGGUUGGGUAGUGACUAUUGUAAUUUGGUUAGAUAAUAUUUAAUUGAAAGUGAAUGAAAAUUUGAAUGGUUUAUGAAAUA